GUGCUCGCUUCGGCAACACAAAUACUAAAAUUGGAACAAUACAGAGAAGAUUAGCAUAGCCCCUGUGCAAGGAUGACAUGCAAAUUUGUGAAGUGUUCCAUAUUUAA
ensembl:snRNA U6 U6 spliceosomal RNA